UUCUGAUGAGAGUAGAGGCAUUGGCCUCCCCUUCGCCCAGCCCCCUGGCUCUUUACUGCCUUCCUGCUGAGUGGCUUGGGGAGACCCUGGAAGCUGAGGGGCAGGGAAGCCCUGUCACUCCAGGGUCCUUUGCAAGCAUUUGGCCCCAGGGAGAAUAAGAAGGAAGGAAGAUGCACGGACAGACCCCAGGGGAGAGUUAACAACAAGGCAGAAGUGAUGGCCUGUGACUUCUGAGACUAGGUCCAUUCAGAGCAUGGUGGCUUUCUUCCUGCUGGAGAGGAAGCAGCUGCCCCGUCAUGAAGCCACUCCAGGAACACUAURGGGACGCCCAUGUGUGAGGAACUGAGGCCACCCGCCCACAGCCAUGUGAGAGCAGCAUCUUGGAGGUGGCUCCUCCUGACCCAGUCGAGCCUUCAGAUGACUGCCCCCUGCCUAGUCUCGACUGUAACCACAGAGAGGAUCCAAGCCAGAGCCACCCAGCCCAUGUUCUCUCACAACCUCGUGACCCACGCAGACUGUGAGAUAGUGACUACUGCUGUGUUAAGCCAGAUUUGGAAACCAGGGCUCUGGGAGGUGAACUGACGCUCCAUGUCCAUGUCUUCUUCAGUCCCAGGCGUGGCCUUCGUUCCCGACCCAGGCCCUGGCUCCACUGGCUCCUCCCUGAAGAAACCAGAGAGAGACCCACAGAGUCAGAGAUUGUCCCUGGUUCUGGCUCUGAGUUCUUCUGGCUGCACCUUGAAAGUCUCAGCUGCUCAGAAGAUCAAGAUCCUGAGGGGGGGGGGGAGGAUCUUGAGUAAAUCCCUGUAGGCAGGGCCCAGCUGAAUCCGUCCUCUCAUGGGGGCAUUCUGGGGUGGGGCUGGGGUGAGAGUAAGGGGUCUGAGUGGCAAUGAGCUGAGGCUCUCAGGAUUAAUAAGCCAUGUCCCAUGUGAAGGCAGAGCAGUUCCAUACCGACAGGAGGAGAGCUGGUCAGUGAGCUGUUAAAAGCAGAUUUGCCAUAGAUGAGUGCUGGGUGAUGGUCCCCCAGGGAGGUCUGCAUCCAUUAGCACUUGUGGCUUUGCAAGGCCUUUGACUCUUUCCCCAUUCGGCUGAGCAAUGGCCUCUCCCCUCCAGGUCGGCUGUUUAGGCCUGGAGAGUUGCUGGAGAGUCAGGCUGCCAGAGCCGCCCAGAGCCCGGUGUGCUGGGGCCACAGCUGCCUCCGUUGUCCUCUUAGAGACGAGCAUGACCCACCCCUCUGCAGACCCUCCUCUACUUACCAUCUGUUCCUGUUCGUCCCCCACCGUCACUCCUUACAGGUGUAAAGGAGGAUUUCUGAGACUUUCCCUCAGGCCUCACCCUAGUCGUUUUGGAUGAGGUCAUGAAGUCCAAGUCCCCUGACCUGGGUCACCCUGCCCUUUGCUUUUUGAGAAGGAAGUUUCUGCUGCUUUUGUAUUGUCCUGGGCAAGACACCGUCCUCUCUUUGGGCAGUUUUUCCUUAGAGCUGCACACAGCCUCUUGGG